CUUGUUCUUCACGGUGAGGAAUAACAAACAAGCAGCUUGUGCUGUUACAAAAAAAAUAUAUAUAUAUAUAGCUGGCAGCGUCCUCGCGCUCGUCAAUCAUUUCAGUGGUUUCUCAUUAGACUAGUUCCUGGUCAAACCUGCGUGAUUAAUUGAGUGGAAAGCUCGCCGUGACUGCACAGGUGUGAAAACGCAACAUGUGCUGUUUUAAAGUCGGAAGUGGGGGGAAAUCAUGCCGAAACACACGGGACAUUUGCUGGUAUUCGUAACGCAGGCGUGUGUCCUAAGUGUGAACUGUAAAACAAACAAAUAGGAAGUAUAUUUGCCGGUCGACAUAAAUUUUAGGGCACUUUUCAAGCUGUAUUUUUUUCUUCCGCUUGAAUAAGAGAAUCUAACCUUUCGUCUUGGACUGAAUACACAAUGCCCCACUGGACCCCUGGACUGCUCACUCUUUAGUGCAUGUCAAGAAGACACCAGUCUGGACCAUUUCCUCUGGGAGGUGGGGAAAAGAUGAACAAAGGCAUCACGGAGAAGGAAAAAAAAAGACAGCCACCACUUCAAUUGUCAAUUGUCAAGUGUCAAGGAGAAAUAUAGGAGAAGAGAGCACAAACACUUGUCAGUAAAAUGUGGCAGCACAGAUGUGUGAGAAAAGAAGAGAUGUGAGAUGAGAAGAGAGGUGAWAAACAAAAGAUGUUAGAGAAGGUGUAUGUCUGAGUUCAGAGGUAACACUGGUGAAUGAUGUCACCGAUUCACUGCCCUACUAAAAUUGAUGUUUUGUUGCUUGUUGCCUCAGUUAGUAUCAUUCAAUGCAUCUUUUUUUAUUUUACAUGUGAGCAUGUCUGUACAACCAGCCUGCUUUUACAUUAAAAUGAAAACAUCUGCUGACAGGUAUGUUCCAUUGCAAAAUCUAAACUAGACUAUUACACAAGAGUUUUUCAUAAUUAGAUUUUAUUUUUCAGUUCAUACCCUAACAAAAGAACUGAUCCAAGCUGAAUGGAUGAGCAAAAAUACUUACACUUUUA